GCCCAAAUGGCGUAAUGGGUAGACGCGCUGGACUCAAAAUCCAGUGGUCAUUGUGACCGUGCGGGUUCGAAUCCCGCUUUGGGCA
rnacentral:tRNA from 1 species